GCCAGACUCCUACGGGAGGCAGCAGUGGGGGAUAUUGCACAAUGGGGGGAACCCUGAUGCAGCGACGCCGCGUGGGUGAAGGAGUAUUUCGGUAUGUAAAGCCCUAUCGGCAGGGAAGAAGCAAGACGGUACCUGACUAAGAAGCCCCGGCUAACUACGUGCCAGCAGCCGCGGUAAUACGUAGGGGGCGAGCGUUAUCCGGAUUCACUGGGUGUAAAGGGAGCGUAGACGGCCAUGCAAGCCAGGGGUGAAAGCCCGGGGCCCAACCCCGGGACUGCCCUUGGAACUGCAUGGCUGGAGUGCGGGAGGGGCAGGCGGAAUUCCUGGUGUAGCGGUGAAAUGCGUAGAUAUCAGGAGGAACACCGGCGGCGAAGGCGGCCUGCUGGACCGCGACUGACGUUGAGGCUCGAAAGCGUGGGGAGCAAACAGGAUUAGAUACCCGCGUAGU
rnacentral:rRNA from 1 species